rnacentral:rRNA from 1 species
UAGGGAAUCUUCCGCAUUGGGCGAAAGCUUGACGGAGCAACGCCGCGUGAGUGAUGAAGGUCUUCGGAUCGUAAAACUCUGUUAUUAGGGAAGAACAAAUGUGUAAGUAACUAUGCACGUCUUGACGGUACCUAAUCAGAAAGCCACGGCUAACUACGUGCCAGCAGCCGCGGUAAUACGUAGGUGGCAAGCGUUAUCCGGAAUUAUUGGGCGUAAAGCGCGCGUAGGCGGUUUUUUAAGUCUGAUGUGAAAGCCCACGGCUCAACCGUGGAGGGUCAUUGGAAACUGGAAAACUUGAGUGCAGAAGAGGAAAGUGGAAUUCCAUGUGUAGCGGUGAAAUGCGCAGAGAUAUGGAGGAACACCAGUGGCGAAGGCGACUUUCUGGUCUGUAACUGACGCUGAUGUGCGAAAGCGUGGGGAUCAAACAGG